rnacentral:lncRNA from 1 species
UACCCAGCAUGCCUUACGCCAAGAGUAACUUCGCCGCCGUCGUCCUGGAGGGCUGCAUCUAUACCAUGGGUGGCUUCGAUGGAAGGGGCACCGUGCAAAAAGUUGAGAGGUACGACAUCGCCGCCCAGAAGUGGUACACGGCUCCCCAGAUCAACACGAGCUGCAGUGCCUCCGCUGCGUGCGUUGUUCGGGACAUCGCCAACCAUGCCGCCUGGACAUAAACAUUAGACAUUUAUCACAUAUGCGGAGCGAACCACCGCAACCGAUCUUCUUCACCCUGAAGCAAGGCCUUUGUCUUCGGAGCGACACCAGCCGCGUCUUGAUCAACGCGCCACCAGCGACGGGAAGAAUAGCGCAAGGAAUUCGACUGAUCAAAAAAACUAAUAAAAAAAUUGCGCGCACAGUCUUCGCGCAC